UACGGGGGGGGGCAAGCGUUGUUCGGAAUUACUGGGCGUAAAGGGCUCGUAGGCGGCCAACUAAGUCGGAUGUGAAAUCCCCCAAGCUUAACUUGGGAACUGCAUCCGAUACUGGAUGGCUUGAAUCCGGGAGAGGGAUGCAGAAUUCCAGGUGUAGCGGUGAAAUGCGUAGAUAUCUGGAGGAAUACCGGUGGCGAAGGCGGCAUCCUGGACCGGCAUUGACGCUGAGGAGCGAAAGCUAGGGGAGCAAACGGG
rnacentral:rRNA from 1 species